UACGUAGGGUGCAGGCGUUAAUCGGGAUUACUUGGCGUAAAGCGUGCGCAGGCGGUUUGCUAAGACAGGUGUGAAAUCCCCGGGCUUAACCUGGGAACUGCGCUUGUAACUGGCAAGCUGGAGUGUGGCAGAGGGGGGUGGAAUUCCACGUGUAGCAGUGAAAUGCGUAGAGAUGUGGAGGAACACCGAUGGCGAAGGCAGCCCCCUGGGCUAACACUGACGCUCAUGCACGAAAGCGUGGGGAGCAAACAGG
rnacentral:rRNA from 1 species